AGUGGAAUUGCUGGGUCAUACAACAAUUCAAUGUCUAACUUUUUGAAGGAUUGCCAAACUAUUUUCCACAAUAGAAGGAUUUUUUUUUUUUUGCAUUUUCAUCAGCAAU
rnacentral:pre_miRNA from 1 species